CUAAAACGACUCUCGGCAACGGAUAUCUCGGCUCUCGCAUCGAUGAAGAACGUAGCGAAAUGCGAUACUUGGUGUGAAUUGCAGAAUCCCGUGAACCAUCGAGUCUUUGAACGCAAGUUGCGCCCCAAGCCUUCUGGCCGAGGGCACGUCUGCCUGGGUGUCAC
rnacentral:rRNA from 1 species